rnacentral:lncRNA from 1 species
UGCAAAUCAAGAGAUUCAAAGCUUCAAGUUCACCUUAAGCAUACCCAUGAAACUGCCCCAGCCAUCAAGGCUCUGCAUAUCUGAAAAGCCACCAAGUAUUUGAAAGAUGUCACUAUAACAAUGCAUGUGCUGUUCCAGCGGUAUAAUGGUGGACUUGGUAGUGUGUCCAGGCCAAACAGUGGGGCUGGACACAGCGUCAGUAGCCAAAAAUAGUGUUGAAUUUUUGCUGCGCAUGCUUAAAAAUGCAGAGAGUAAUGCCACACUUAAGGGUUUAGAUAUAGAUUCUCUAGUCACUGAACACACCCAGCAACAAAGCACCUGAGAUUUCCCGAAAAAUUUACAGAGCUCCCCAGAACACAUCGAGAUGAUCCUCACUGUAAAGGAACAGAUGUUCCAAAGCCAGAAGAGGAGUUUGCACAGAAGAAAAAUAUAUCCUAGAAAAGUACUGAAGAGACAAAA